rnacentral:rRNA from 1 species
UACGGAGGGUGCAAACGUUGCUCGGAAUUAUUGGGCGUAAAGCGCACGUAGGCGGACCAUCAAGUCGGAUGUGAAAUCCCUCGGCUUAACCGAGGACGUGCAUUCGAAACUGAUGGCCUUGAGUACGAAAGAGGAUCGCGGAAUUCCCGGUGUAGAGGUGAAAUUCGUAGAUAUCGGGAGGAACACCAGUGGCGAAGGCGGCGAUCUGGGUCGAUACUGACGCUGAGGUGCGAAAACGUGGGGAGCAAACAGG